rnacentral:rRNA from 1 species
UACAGAGGGUGCGAGCGUUAAUCGAAAUUACUGGGCGUAAAGCGCACGUAGGCGGCUUGGUAUGUCGGGUGUGAAAUCCCCGGGCUCAACCUGGGAACUGCAUCCGAAACUGCCUUGCUAGAGUAUGGGAGAGGGAAGUGGAAUUUCCGGUGUAGCGGUGAAAUGCGUAGAUAUCGGAAGGAACAUCAGUGGCGAAGGCGACUUCCUGGACCAAUACUGACGCUCAGGUGCGAAAGCGUGGGGAGCAAACAGG